rnacentral:rRNA from 1 species
UACGUAGGGUGCAAGCGUUGUCCGGAAUCAUUGGGCGUAAAGCGCGUGUAGGUGGCUUCGUAAGUCCGUUGUGAAAGUCAAAGGCUCAACCUUUGAAUGCCGAUGGAUACUGCGGAGCUAGAGUACGGAAGAGGCGAGUGGAAUUCCUGGUGUAGCGGUGGAAUGCGCAGAUAUCAGGAGGAACACCAAUAGCGAAGGCAGCUCGCUGGGACGUUACUGACACUAAGGCGCGAAAGCGUGGGGAGCGAACAGG